rnacentral:rRNA from 1 species
CCUACGGGGGGCAGCAGUGGGGAAUAUUGGACAAUGGGCGAAAGCCUGAUCUAGCCAUGCCGCGUGUGUGAAGAAGGCCUUCGGGUUGUAAAGCACUUUCAGUGGGGAAGAAAGCCUUGGGGCUAAUACCCUCGAGGAAGGACAUCACCCACAGAAGAAGCACCGGCUAACUCCGUGCCAGCAGCCGCGGUAAUACGGAGGGUGCGAGCGUUAAUCGGAAUUACUGGGCGUAAAGCGCGCGUAGGCGGUCUGAUAAGCCGGUUGUGAAAGCCCCGGGCUCAACCUGGGAACGGCAUCCGGAACUGUCAGGCUAGAGGGCAGGAGAGGAAGGUAGAAUUCCCGGUGUAGCGGUGAAAUGCGUAGAGAUCGGGAGGAAUACCAGUGGCGAAGGCGGCCUUCUGGACUGACACUGACGCUGAGGUGCGAAAGCGUGGGUAGCAAACAGGAUUAGAUACCCGUGUAGUC